GGCCUGGCCGGGCGGUCCGUCUUUGGCGAGUACUGUUCUGUGUCGGGUCUUACCUUCUGGUAAACCGGCAUGUUCUUUUAUCGCGUGUGCCGGGGAACCAGGACCAUUACCUUGAAAAAAUUAGAGUGUUUAAAGCGGGCUUUUGCUUGAAUAGAUUAGCAUGGAAUAAUAAAAUAGGACGUUGGUUCUAUUUUGUUGGUCUAGGACCACCGUAAUGAUUAAUAGGGAUAGUUGGG
rnacentral:rRNA from 1 species